CCCUUAGACGUUCUGGGCCGCACGCGCGCUACACUGACACAGGCAACGAGCUUUCCUUUACCGAAAGGUAUGGGUAAUCUUUUGAAACUGUGUCGUGCUGGGGAUAGAUCCUUGCAAUUUUUGAUCUUAAACGAGGAAUUCCUAGUAAGCGCGAGUCAUCAACUCGCGUUGAUUACGUCCCUACCCUUUGUACACACCGCCCGUCGCUACUACCGAUUGAAUGGCUUAGUGAGGCCUCAGGAUCCGCGCUUAAUGUGUGGAGAAUUUGGACAAACUACGUCAUUUAGAGGAAGUAAAAGUCGUAACA
rnacentral:rRNA from 1 species